GUUUCAGAACUUAAAGAUACAAAUUCCUUUCCAGAGUUGUACAAACUGAGUACAAAUGGGUUAAUUCACCCAAAAGUUUGAUUCAUCUAUUUUAAAGCAAACCAAGAUAAGAAUGAAUGAACAAGUGACAACUCAAGGAGUCACAUCAUGAAAGUACAAUUCAUGGUGAUUUCUUUGCAGGUCUGUACCUUCUUCAGAAUAUGACUCUGCAAUUAAAGAACAAAAACAAAAACAAACAAAAUCUCCCCUGUGCCUUUAAAUGAAGUGUCUGAGUUGAUUUUAUUAGAAAGUUUUUGACCCCUUAGUCUUCCCAAAAAGGGCCAGAGGUUUUAGAUUUCCUGUUUGGAUGAAGGUAGCAUGUCUCUUCGUUUUUCUGGUUGAUGUACUCCGGAUACGUAGGUCUGAGAGAACACAAUCUGAAUGAAAGAAGAUGCAAGUGAAAGGCGUUACCAAGCAAGGUGGCUUAUGCUGAUGAAGCAGUUAGAAAAGCCCCAAAUGGACUCUCCUGAUCAAGGCCUAAAGACUUACCAACUCCUCAGUUCCAGAGACAGGCACUGAUGAAGGAAAGUGGAAUUCCUAAAGCAACAUCAAAAUUUUUAGAUGAAGAUUUCCCAAAAGGAGUGGAGAACCCCAUGAUGGAGGUCUAAGAAGAAGGUACUAAGAAAGGAGGAACUAGACCUGAGCAAGAGCAAGGAAUUUAGGAUCCUGGGUCAAAAAAGCAUGCUCGCAGUAACGGGACACAGCCCUAUCUGUUAAUAUUUCACUCCACCUCUACUUGUCUCCUUCAUACAGCCAUUUUCUAAAAUUUGAUUAGUGUGAAUAAAAAAAAAGUCUUUCAAAUCUU